CCUCCCCGGGGGCGGGACCGCGCCGAGGGCACGCCCACCUUGUCAGCUCCUAUUGGUUAAAAAUUCCAGACCUCUCUUCUGACUGGGAGCUGGAGCCGUCAAACUCCCCUCAGCGUGCGGUGCGCACACUGGCGGCGGCGGAGCGGCUGGAGGCGGGGAGAGGAGCGGAAUGGAGGCGUGAAGCUGGGAGCCCGGCCGGCCUCGGAGCCGCCCCCGCCCUCUCGCUGCGCGCACCCCGAGGCUGCUCUGCUGUGGAGCCGAGGGCCCGGGAGUCGUCAUGGAUGAAGCGGAGGAGACUCGCGGGCUCGGAGACCGGGUGGGCGCGAGGGGCCGGUAGCCGGUGGGCCCGGCCGGCGGCGGGACCCGGCGACGACAAAAACAGCAUGUCCCACCAAGAGGAUGCCCUUCAGCUGGAUGCGAGGACGAUGGCACAAAGCUGAAGAUAACUGUGACUGACAGCAUGAAGUGAGAGACACCUAACUGUCAACCACGUAUUUAGAGCACAUGGAAGGUAUGUCUGCUUGAAAUAAGCUGGAGUACUAAUUUGUGAUGGAAAAUUACAGGAGCCUGCCAGAAAAGAAUUACUGCAAAGUAUUGCCCUUCACAGCGGAAUUGAAAGUACCUUCUGCAGACU